GUGAACGCUGGCGGUAGGCCUAACCCAUGCAAGUCGAACGGCAGCACAGUAAGAGCUUGCUCUUACGGGUGGCGAGUGGCGGACGGGUGAGGAAUACAUCGGAAUCUACUUUUUCGUGGGGGAUAACGUAGGGAAACUUACGCUAAUACCGCAUACGACCUACGGGUGAAAGCAGGGGAUCUUCGGACCUUGCGCGAUUGAAUGAGCCGAUGUCGGAUUAGCUAGUUGGCGGGGUAAAGGCCCACCAAGGCGACGAUCCGUAGCUGGUCUGAGAGGAUGAUCAGCCACACUGGAACUGAGACACGGUCCAGACUCCUACGGGAGGCAGCAGUGGGGAAUAUUGGACAAUGGGCGCAAGCCUGAUCCAGCUAUACCGCGUGGGUGAAGAAGGCCUUCGGGUUGUAAAGCCCUUUUGUUGGGAAAGAAAAGCAGCAGGUUAAUACCCCGCUGUUCUGACGGUACCCAAAGAAUAAGCACCGGCUAACUUCGUG
rnacentral:rRNA from 1 species